UGGAGAAGAGCUUACAAAACUGAUAGGAUACGAGCAUCAAUCAUCUCUUUUAUUUGUCAAAGUGAGUAUUCAUUUUCAUCACUUUGGCUUACUGGAAUGUGUAGUUUGAGAUUGGUUUCAUUAUUUUGUUUAGUUUUCAUGAAUUUGGAUGAUGUUUGUCUUUGAAUAUUGUUCCUUUUAUGGGUUUGAGUCUUUUGACGAUCAAUAUAAAACCUGUUAAUUCACUAUUUUAGAUAUGGUUUUACAAAGACUAUAGAUUUAUUAUCUUGGUUCUUAUAAUCUUGUGGUGUUAUAUGACUAGUUACCUUCCAAACAAUGGGAGAUCCAAAAGACGUAAAAGGUAAAGGUCAAUACCACUCAUGGUCUGGACCUGAGCACAAGUUGUUAUUGAGGUUACUAGUGGAUGCAAUCAAUCAAGGUUUUCGUGAUGCCAGCGGCAAAUUCAACAAACUGACGGUCGAAUCCAGAAUACUAACAACUCUACAGCAAGAAGUUGGAUCUAAAAAAACCUACGGUCAGUAUAAAAAUAGGAUGAAAAUCUUGAAGGGUAGGUACCAAGUGUUUGCAGAUUUUCUUCGUUGUAGUUCUGGUUUUGGGUGGGACUCUGAAACGAAAAAAUUCACAGCAGAUGAUGAAGUAUGGAAGGUCUAUCUGCAGGUAAAAAAUUAUAAUAUGAAAUUCAUGCUUAUGUUGGUGCUGUUUACAUAUGAUUCUUAUUAUAGUGAUUUUUUUUAAUAGGCUCAUCCAAAUAAUAAAUAUCUGCGUGAUGAUUCGUUUGAAGAUUUUGAAGAGCUAAGGACUAUAUUUGAACAGAAUACUGCAACUGGGCAGAAUGCUGUGGGACUAGGUGAUUCUGUUGAUGCAGGAUCCUAUCAAUUUGAAGAGAACGAGAAGACAAAUGAUAAUAAUUUUGUCCACGUGAUAGAUGAGGGAGGAGGAAUAGAACACCAGCAAACAUGUGAACCUUCAUCAAGAAAAAGCAUUGGAGAAAAGCUUUCACAUAGAAAGAAAGCUAGGACGGAUUCAUAUAACUCGGAAAGGGUUUGUGAGGAAGUUACAGAAAUCAGUAGCCAAAUUUUUGACAUGAUUCAGAAAAGAUGGGUGAAGGAAGCUGAAGAAAAAGAAGCUGAAGACAAAGCUAACAAUGUUUGGGAUGCUAUCAAGGAAAUUCCUGACUUGGAUGAUGAUUUGCGUUAUGAGGCGAUGACCCUUGUUCACACCUUAGGCAUGAAAUCUGGUUUCGUGAAUAUGUCCAUAACAGAUCGUUGUGGAUGGAUUAAAAGAAAUCUCCGUAAACCAAGUGGCUGAAGUAACAUGAUCGGAGUUCUAAAGAUAGUUCGUCAUCUUGGAGUUUUUAUUUCUUUAAAGUUGAGUUUUUAUUAUUACUUUAGCUAUGGUUUUGUUUCUUCUUUGCAGAAUUGUUAUGAUUUUUGUUCUUUAUAUGUUAUGGUUUUUGUUUUUUUUACUACAAUGGUCUAGUUUUAUUUAUUUAUAUACGACACUAUCUUCUUGUUUUCUCCUACAAUGGUAUAAUUAUAUUUUACAUAGGAAAGUAGUAUAUUCUGUUCAAAGUAAACAUUGAUUUUGGCGGCUAAAUUUGGCGGCUAAUUCGUUAGGAUACGAUUCCUUAAUGAUUUGUGUAACCUUAUUUAUUUGUUCUCUUCUUCUCUAGCUAAAGUUCAUCACCGCCGCUUUAUAUUACGUGAGUAUCUAGCAUUAUUUCACACUUUGUUCACCAAUUAGACAGUUUCUUAUGACUUGUUAUUUAUGUUUUUGUGCAGAGAUUUCAAUGGCUCAUAUUGUUAAUGCAAAUGAAGAGAUACAAGUUAGGAAAAAGAGAAAAAAGAUGUCAAAUUUCAAGAUAGACGUUGAUAUUCUCUUACUGGUUUUUUCUAUCAUUGUGAAGGUACGUAAUGUCGCUUCACGUAUUCCACAAAUACAACGUGAAAUUAGAAGAUCAACUACAACACUUGGACAUGAAUACAUACAAAAUGCUUUGGUUGAAGAUCCUAAACAUUUUCGACAUCUAUAUCGUAUGUAUCCGGAUGUGUUUUUGAAGCUAUGCUCUAUUAUAAGAGUAAAGAUGGGAUUAAAAGAUACAAGAUAUGUUUCAGUUGAAGAAAUGCUAGCCACCUUUUUGUUCAUUGUUGGUCAAAACUCAAGGUAUAUUCAGGCUCAAGAUAGAUUCAAGAGGUCAAGAUUCUCAAUAAGUACGAGUUUUCAUACAAUUCUGAAAGUGUUAAACGCACUUGCUCCAAGUUACAUGGCCAAGCCUGAAACAACAGUGCCUCCAAAGAUAAGAGAUAGCACACGAUUCUAUCCUUAUUUUAAGGUACAUGUAGUUCUUCUCUUAUGCAUUUUUUAAAUACCGCAAAAAAAUUUACAUGUUUCUAUAUUUUAUUAGGAUUGUGUAGGAGCUAUUGAUGGAACACAUAUUCUUGCGAUGAUAAGUGGAAAGGAUUCAUCUAGCUACCGCAAUCGAAAAGGACAACUAUCACAAAAUGUUUUAGCUGCAUGCAAUUUUGAUUUAGAAUUUAUAUAUGUUCUUAGUGGAUGGGAAGGUUCAGCUCAUGAUGCUAAAGUAUUACAAGAUGCUUUAACAAGAAAUUUUAACAGAUUACAAGUUCCAGAAGGUAUGUCUGGUUCUUAUGAUUAAAAUAUUGAUGUGUUAUUUUUGUAUUUUCUUAAAAUUAUUUGUAUAUGUUAUAUGAUUUCAGGAAAAUUCUAUUUAGUCGACUGUGGAUACGCCAAUCGUCGUAAUUUUCUGGCUCCAUUUCGAAGUACUCGCUAUCAUCUUCAAGAUUUUAAGGGACAAGGCAAAGAUCCUGUGAAUCAAAAUGAGUUGUUCAAUCAUCGUCAUUCAUCCUUGCGAAAUGUGAUUGAGAGAAUUUUUGGCAUCUUUAAGUCAAGAUUCCUCAUCUUCAAAUCUGCUCCACCAUUUCCGUAUAAAACACAAGCAGAGUUAGUUCUUGCAUGUGUUGUUCUACAUAAUUAUCUUCGUAAAGAAUGUCGUUCAGACGUGUUUCCUGAAGAAGUUGUUGUCGCUGAUGAUAAUGAAAGUGAUGUUCAAGAAAUAGGUGAAGAUGAGAACAUGGAUGAUGAUGUUCAAAAUGGCACUCAAGAACAACAAAGAGUGAAUGCUAAUAAUUGGAGAGCAAAUAUAGCAGCAACCAUGUGGACAGAUGCUAUGCAUA
rnacentral:lncRNA from 1 species